rnacentral:misc_RNA from 1 species
AACAGUUUUAUAGUUUGAUAAACUAAAUUAUAUUUCAGGAAAAUGAUAUCAUUCUUAGAAUUACUUUAUGCAUGUGUACUAGUGCAGGGAUCAAACCCAGAUGAACAAACCAGAGAUGAUCUUAUUCUAAUGAAUAAAAAACUGAUUGAAACCUUCAAUGAGAUCUCGGAAGACUUCGCAACUCUACAAAACAACAGGACUUUUAAGAUUUCUUCAGAUGGGAAGAAAAAGAUUCUGAAAUAGGAGUUCUUAGACUAAUGCCGAAAAUCUUAAAACUUCAAGAGGUUUAGAGAUGAUGUAUCAGUACAUAUAGUUGGAGUGCCUGAUGAUAUAUGUAAGGUAAUCAAAGUAAUUUGCACUGGGUAUCCAAAGGAAAUUAUUUUAAAUAUGGAAACUAAAAUCAUCCAGGGAAAAUUUUUAAACAUACGAAUAUUAAAUUUUCCUUCUUUUGCAAACCCAUUCACGACAGUACUGAGAAAACAGAACAACAAAUACAAUAUAAUUCCUCCUAAUUCCAAUGUUGCCUGGAAAUAUAAGAAAAUGGCGGGAAAUGGAUACUUUCGCACUGCAAGAACUCACUGCACCACUCCAAGAGAAAGAAACAACCAAUAUAGGAUUAUACAUCAAAUCCUAAAUUUAAAAGGAUUUUCUGAAAGUCAAAUUUCGAAAAUUAAAAAUCCCAAGAAAUGUAGAAAAGGACAAGAAACGAGCAAGAAAAAGAAGUUUUUAACAACGAUAAAAUUUAAUGGAUGUACUAACCGGCACAAAUAUGUGAAAUCAUUUGUUAAAAAAUCUGAGAUAAACCUUGAGGACUACUAUCUACCAAUGGAUGUACCUGGGAAGAAACUCGAACAAUACAUCUUUACUGUUCGGAAGAUGAGAAAAAAACUAAACUUUUGAUUAUAGGUAGAAUAGGAUUAACAUUUUUUUCAAAACAAUUUUUCAAUACAUAAUUAAAUUGGUCCAAUUUCAGUGUAUAUUUCUAAAAAAUUUUUGUGUAUCUUUCUUUAUUUUUCUUUAUUUUUAUCUUUAUUUUUAAUGGUUUUUCGUUUCGGCCUGGUCUUAUUUUAAACACCAGUUAAUAAGGCAAUUGGUAUAUCUGGUUUUUUAAAAAAAUGAACAAU